rnacentral:sRNA from 1 species
UUUCGUUCUACAUCUAAUGUAAUCUUCCCCCAAACCCUAAUUCCCUCCCUCUCCGCGCCUAACAUCUUCUACAUCUAACUUUGUCAUUUUUCCUCAAACCCCUUCCCCGCACCAUUUAAAGUUCUUUGAGAUUACUGCAUUCGAGCAAGGGAACGAGGCAUCGAAGAUACAUUUGUGGGCUGAGCAAGGUGUCGAGGCGUCUUAUUUUUCGUUGAAGGUCCCUACUGGUCCAAUGGACGCGUCGAGGAAUCUUAUUAUUCGUUGAGGUGUCUUAUUGUUCGUCUCGUCGAAGGUGUGGCUCAUGAGUCUGUUGGAGUAAAACCAGCGACCUUGGUUCCAAAAGAAAUCUUAUCCCUUCCAUUGUUUAUCCCUUCGCGGUGGAGCUCCUCCUUUAACAUGCCCAACCAGAACUAGGGUUUCGAUUCGAAACACCAGCCAAAGCCUAAACCUUUCUCUCUUUUCCUUUUUUUCUCUCGUUCAAUUAGCUUCUCGCAUUUAUUCUAUGUUCCUUUAUGGGGGAUUCGCAUUUUCUGAGUUUUGAAUACAUGUGCCUUCAAGAACAGUUCUUGGAGGAAUUAAAGCUUCAUUGGUGAUCACACAACAAGAUUUCAUUCAAGACUAUUUGGACUUCACAUAUUCUGAUUCUUUUGCACUUUGGGAGUGUGAUUUGAUUAGGUCCUUUAGCAAUUCGUGUAAUUGGAAGAUAGUCAAGAUUGAGAGCUAGUAUUUGCUCUUGUAUGUUGUAAGAGAUUGAGUGAUUUAUCUCUUGUGUUUGUUAUUUCUAAUUUGAGUGGUGU